GCCUCCAUAGCUCAGUGGUAGUAGCGCGUCCUUCGUAAGGAUGAGGUCGUGAGUUCAAUCCUCACUGGGGGCA
rnacentral:tRNA from 1 species